UAAGUUAAUAAGGGCGCACGGUGGAUGCCUUGGCACUAGGAGCCGACGAAGGACGUGACAAACGACGAUAUGCCUUGGGUAGCUGUAAGUAAGCGAUGAUCCAGGGAUUUCCGAAUGGGGGAACCCAACAGGUAAUACCUGUUACCUACAUCUGUUAAGGAUGUGAGGAGGAAGACGCAGUGAACUGAAACAUCUAAGUAGCUGCAGGAAGAGAAAGCAAAAGCGAUUGCCUUAGUAGCGGCGAGCGAAACGGCAGAAGGGCAAACCGAAGAGUUUACUCUUCGGGGUUGUAGGACUGCAAUGUGGACUCAAAGAUUAUAGAAGAAUGAUUUGGGAAGAUCAGCCAAAGAGAGUAAUAGCCUCGUAUUUAAAAUAGUCUUUGUACUUAGCAGUAUCCUGAGUACGGCGGGACACGUGAAAUCCCGUCGGAAUCUGGGAGGACCAUCUCCCAACCCUAAAUACUCCCUAGUGACCGAUAGUGAACCAGUACCGUGAGGGAAAGGUGAAAAGCACCCCGGGAGGGGAGUGAAAUAGAACCUGAAACCGUGUGCCUACAACAAGUUCGAGCCCGUUAAUGGGUGAGAGCGUGCCUUUUGUAGAAUGAACCGGCGAGUUACGUUAUGAUGCGAGGUUAAGUUGAAGAGACGGAGCCGUAGGGAAACCGAGUCUGAAUAGGGCGCCUUAGUAUCAUGACGUAGACCCGAAACCAUGUGACCUACCCAUGAGCAGGUUGAAGGUGCGGUAAGACGCACUGGAGGACCGAACCAGGGCACGUUGAAAAGUGCUUGGAUGACUUGUGGGUAGCGGAGAAAUUCCAAACGAACUUGGAGAUAGCUGGUUCUCUCCGAAAUAGCUUUAGGGCUAGCGUCGACAUUAGAGAUUCUUGGAGGUAGAGCACUGUUUGGGUGAGGGGUCCAUCCCGGAUUACCAAUCUCAGAUAAACUCCGAAUGCCAAUGAAUUAUGGUCGGCAGUCAGACUGCGAGUGCUAAGAUCCGUAGUCGAAAGGGAAACAGCCCAGACCACCAGCUAAGGUCCCAAAAUAAUUGUUAAGUGGAAAAGGAUGUGGGGUUGCACAGACAACUAGGAUGUUAGCUUAGAAGCAGCUAUUCAUUCAAAGAGUGCGUAAUAGCUCACUAGUCGAGUGACCCUGCGCCGAAAAUGUACCGGGGCUAAAACAAUUUACCGAAGCUGUGGAUACCUUUAUAGGUAUGGUAGGAGAGCGUUCUAUGUGUGAUGAAGGUAUACCGUGAGGAGUGCUGGAACGCAUAGAAGUGAGAAUGCCGGUAUGAGUAGCGAAAGACAGGUGAGAAUCCUGUCCACCGUAAGACUAAGGUUUCCAGGGGAAGGCUCGUCCGCCCUGGGUUAGUCGGGACCUAAGGAGAGACCGAAAGGUGUAUCCGAUGGACAACAGGUUGAUAUUCCUGUACUAGAGUAUGUAGUGAUGGAGGGACGCAGUAGGCUAACUAAAGCAGACGAUUGGAAGAGUCUGUCUAAGCAGUGAGGUGUGAAUUGAGUCAAAUGCUUAAUUCUAUAACAUUGAGCUGUGAUGGGGAGCGAAGUUUAGUAGCGAAGUUAGUGACGUCACACUGCCAAGAAAAGCUUCUAGCGUUUAAACAUACUCUACCCGUACCGCAAACCGACACAGGUAGUCGAGGCGAGUAGCCUCAGGUGAGCGAGAGAACUCUCGUUAAGGAACUCGGCAAAAUGACCCCGUAACUUCGGGAGAAGGGGUGCUGACUUAAAGUCAGCCGCAGUGAAUAGGCCCAAGCAACUGUUUAUCAAAAACACAGCUCUCUGCUAAAUCGUAAGAUGAUGUAUAGGGGGUGACGCCUGCCCGGUGCUGGAAGGUUAAGAGGAGUGCUUAGCGUAAGCGAAGGUAUGAAUUGAAGCCCCAGUAAACGGCGGCCGUAACUAUAACGGUCCUAAGGUAGCGAAAUUCCUUGUCGGGUAAGUUCCGACCCGCACGAAAGGCGUAAUGAUUUGGGCACUGUCUCAACGAGAGACUCGGUGAAAUUUUAGUACCUGUGAAGAUGCAGGUUACCCGCGACAGGACGGAAAGACCCCAUGGAGCUUUACUGCAGUUUGAUAUUGAGUGUCUGUACCACAUGUACAGGAUAGGUAGGAGUCUAAGAGAUCGGGACGCCAGUUUCGAAGGAGACGCUGUUGGGAUACUACCCUUGUGUUAUGGCCACUCUAACCCAGAUAGGUGAUCCCUAUCGGAGACAGUGUCUGACGGGCAGUUUGACUGGGGCGGUCGCCUCCUAAAAGGUAACGGAGGCGCCCAAAGGUUCCCUCAGAAUGGUUGGAAAUCAUUCGCAGAGUGUAAAGGUAUAAGGGAGCUUGACUGCGAGAGCUACAACUCGAGCAGGGACGAAAGUCGGGCUUAGUGAUCCGGUGGUUCCGUAUGGAAGGGCCAUCGCUCAACGGAUAAAAGCUACCCUGGGGAUAACAGGCUUAUCUCCCCCAAGAGUUCACAUCGACGGGGAGGUUUGGCACCUCGAUGUCGGCUCGUCGCAUCCUGGGGCUGUAGUCGGUCCCAAGGGUUGGGCUGUUCGCCCAUUAAAGCGGCACGCGAGCUGGGUUCAGAACGUCGUGAGACAGUUCGGUCCCUAUCCGUCGCGGGCGUAGGAAAUUUGAGAGGAUCUGCUCCUAGUACGAGAGGACCAGAGUGGACUUACCGCUGGUGUACCAGUUGUCUUGCCAAAGGCAUCGCUGGGUAGCUAUGUAGGGAAGGGAUAAACGCUGAAAGCAUCUAAGUGUGAAACCCACCUCAAGAUGAGAUUUCCCAUGAUUAUAUAUCAGUAAGAGCCCUGAGAGAUGAUCAGGUAGAUAGGUUAGAAGUGGAAGUGUGGCGACACAUGUAGCGGACUAAUACUAAUAGCUCGAGGACUUAUCCA
rnacentral:rRNA from 10 species